rnacentral:lncRNA from 1 species
GCCAAUGUGAGCAAGUGGUACGACGCCGUUUCGUCCCAACUCGCUUCCACCUUCCCCGGCAAGGCUGCCGGAGUGAGAGUCAGCAGCGGCAAGGCUGGGGCUGCUGCUCCCGCUCCCGCUGCCGCCGCUGGAGGCGAUGACGAUGACGAUUUGGACCUCUUUGGCGACGAGACUGAGGAGGACAAGAAGGCCGAGGCGGAGUUGGCGGCAGCCAAAAAGGCGUCUACCAAGAAGAAGGAGAGUGGAAAAUCCUCCGUUCUUUUGGAUGUCAAGCCUUGGGACGAUGAGACUGACAUGAAGAAGCUCGAGGAGGCUGUUCGGAGUGUCGAGAUGGAGGGUCUCUUCUGGGGCGCAUCGAAAUUGGUUUCCGUUGGUUACGGCAUCAAAAAGUUGCAGAUCAUGCUCACCAUUGUCGAUGACCUUGUUUCCGUCGAUGACCUCAUCGAAGAGCAGCUUACCGUUGAGCCCCGCAACGAGUAUAUCCAGAGCUGCGACAUUGUUGCCUUCAACAAAAUUUAAUCCUACUACUGCGGUGCACUACUCUUCGUUAUCAUAUUUACUUGUUCGGUUUGGAUUUCUGGUAGCAAUUUUCGCGAGUCAAUCUACUUUUGAUCUUUACAUGAUGAUAUAUGGUUUUAAUUCGU